rnacentral:lncRNA from 1 species
CUUUCUCUUUGGCAGGGCUAUACUAAACCAUCGAUGUAAAGGUGAGUCAGGGUGGAAAAAUGAAAAGCAAUAAGAAUGCUGGCUAGCUGAACGGGCCAGGUUGUGCGCUUGUCUGAAGCAGCUGUGCAUGGUUAAACCUCUGUCUUUGGAGCUCUUUGAAGUCUAAGUCCCAAUCCAUUCUUCGGAUGCCCUGGCUUCUGUUGCGGCUUUUGAGCUGGCAGAAUUUCCAUUCUCUUUGCUUAUGAUUGAAGUGGUGCCUUUGCUCGGAUCACAAUUGGGAGCCUGGUGGAUUGAGGGCUGGAUUAUCUCCACCAUUUCGGCAGUGCACAGGACUUGAGUCAAGGACAAGCAUCCCAGCUGUGAUGGGCACGGCACAGACAAGCAUCCAAAACAACAGUCUAGAUGGAAAGCAGGUGGAAGAAGCAGGCACAUGGUUUGAGAGGAUAAAGUAACGAUAAAAGAAGUAAAAGUUGAUCCCACAGGACACCCUCCCUGGCUGAUCUGUGCCAGGCUUUGUCCCCAUUUCUAAGGAAACCAAAUCAAGCACGUGCUGCAUUACGGAAGCACCCUGCCAAUGCACCCUGCCAUGCCUGCCGACAAGGAAAGCCUGCAGACUGAAGCUUCAGGACUGGAAAAGCUGGGGCAUCCUUA